UAAGAUCUAGGGCGGGAGGGGGGAACGUUAGAUAAAUAACCACAACUACCAACUAAAUCAACCACUAAGAACGCGCGCCCGUCGUCCUUCCGUGCUGAUCGGCAAUUAUCACUCAAGGUCGCCUGCAGACGAAGACAUGCACUCGGAAUAUGAUGGCAUGAUGGCAGCAUACUUGUUGGUCCGCAGAGACCUGCUGUAGCCGAGUGGUCAGUUGUCCGACUGUAGGUAUACUCCAAGUAUGAAAAGAUCAUCGUACGCACGAAAAUGUUCAGAAAGCGGCUCCCUCACAACUUGCUGAAAUCGCCUGCUGCUUCUGAAUGAGUCGACGUUAUCAGUCUUGGCUACUCCCGCCAACCAAACUACCUUAAUUCUGUUUUCCUAUUUCUACUAGAUAACUGGUGAUCGACCUGCGCCAUCACCGCGGAAUUAUAUUUUUAAUCUCGUUCCUCCUCCACUUCUUCCGCCGUUCCCAUGUCGUAAACGUCUACAUCAUUCUGAAGGAAUGCCAAAUUGUCAACGAGAAAAAGGAAACUAGAGUAACUGCAUAAACGCAAGCAACCAGAUAAAACUAUGGCGCACGCACUAAGCACCGACGACCGAGCCUUCGGUCUCUGUCUUGCGUCAUCACAAAGCCGAAAAGGAACAAAUGAUAAAGGAUGGGGAGUGAUGGGAGAUAGAGAUAGAAGGAGUUGAUGGUCCGUAAUCGAUGCUAUCAUUUUAAGUCUCAGG
rnacentral:sRNA from 1 species